rnacentral:sRNA from 1 species
GCAGAUCCUGCAAUGCGAGGUGAGCGCGC